AUGUGUGUGUGUGUGUGUGUGUGUGUGUGUGUGUGUGUGUGUAUAUAUAUAUAUACACACACACACUUGUUAAGUACCCAACCUAU
ensembl:miRNA